AGAGUCGUAGCAGGGUGUGCUGUGGCGAUGAAGACUCUGAAUACAAAGACAUGUGGCAACUAGGGACUUCACACCAGCUCUAAAAUUGGAGAAUGGGAGUGACUCAGUGGAGCUCCCUCUCAGCUGGUCUGAGACCCCCACCACCUUUGACCUUGCUGUGGACUACUGGAACACCAAACAGGAGGUGAGUGAAGGUGAGGUCUGGGCUGUCACAGAGCAAUAGGCCACUCAAACACUGUUGUACAACAUGGUCUUCCACAGUCCCUGGCAUUCAGGAGCAGAUGAUGGCCACUGGAAGAGCAGAGACCCACAUAGAACAAAGGAAAAAGAAGGCACGAAGUUAUCAAUUGACCUCUCAAGGAAUAAACUUUCUUGUAGUGACUCAGUCACCAUGAUACUCUGAAACAUAUGUAUGUGCACCGACCCACAUCUCUUAUCUGUCUCAUAUCAGUAAACACUAAUGAUGCAAAGCUCUGGAUGAUGUGCAUGGAGGUACCUUGUUACCCUUCUUGGCUGAAACCAUAGUGGGGUAACAUUGCAUCAGGGAUGACUGAUCCCCAAAACCAUUCUUAGAGAUACCAUCCCCUUAAUGGCUGGGACUAGGAGCCUGGAAACACUCAAGGGAGAAGUUUCUUCUGCCUCUUAGCGCUAAUUGGGAAAAGAGAACACCUCAGAGGAAGAACUAAAUCCUACUGGAGGUGUCUAGUUCCAUCAGAGAAAGUCGAAGUCAUGGCAUCUGUGGAAGAUGCUGGUUUAGGAUCCAGUUCAACCAAUGAAAUCCAAGAAAAGACAAUCCAAGUACAGGACUUCUGAAAAAUGGAGAAACAACCUACUGGGAUGAUUUUACGGGUUGCAAGGAAAGCUAUAGCUUCUUGAUCAAAAUGAAGAGGCCUAAGGUAGGGCUAAGGAUGCAAACUAUUUAACAAAGUAAAUGACAAAUGGACAAUCUGUAUCCAGAAGACCUGGAAGCGCAGCAGAAUGUUCAGGUGGAGAAGAGGGAGCUUCUGUCUGGACGGGUGAACACAGAGGAUGGCUCCAUCUGUCAGAACUGAGGAAGAAAUACGAAAAACUAAGAAAAAGGGGAUGCAGCAGUCUUCAGAAAGUGGGAAUGAUAGCUCUUAAUAUUGGAACCACCCUAGUUCAGAGCUGUAGUUUCACUGAGUUUCAGAAGAAUCUCCACGUUCGGUACUGCUCAGGUAUUUUCUCAUGCUCUCCUAUACAAACCACUUCUUAACAGGGACAUAUAAUGCAUUUGCUCUGUGGUGCUAUUUCAACAGGUUUGAUUUCCAGUACUGGUGACAGUGUGCUUAGCUCCUUUCUCUGAUGGAUGAAAUGUAGAGUGGUUGCACCCAAAUCAGACAAAAUACCACUGGGAAAGGACACAGUCUUUCAAUGCCCUUUUUGACACUUCCUCCCUAAGACAUCUGUGUACUUAUCCCUGUGAAACUGGCUUUACAGCUCACUUUCAAGGUCAAAACAACACUGAGGCAGGAAAUGCCUCACUUUCUGGCUAAAUAUAAAUCUGAAGCCCAACUAACUUGCCAGGCUCAACAUGUUCUGAGUGGCAUGUCUUAUGGGGGUAGCUCAGUUCAAUUCAGAAGUGAACUGACAUAGCAACCUGCAUAAUGCUGCCAACAUCAGAAAGGAGACCCUCAGGUAUCUACCAAAAAUAGAUAUGAUCCGUCAAAGAUAGGAAUAUGCAUUGCACUUGGGCAGGUUCAAAGUUAUGGGCGACUGGUCAGUUUUGGGCCAUUGUCGGUAUCAUCCGAUCUUGAUUCAGUGCCAAGUUGCAGGUUGUCACUAGGCCAUCUUUCUCUCCCUUUUCUCAUAGAGAUGCCCUUUUUCUUUUCAUAGCCUGACUUAGACUCUACCCAGAAACAGUUUAACAUCUUUUCACACCAGUUUUUUUGCAACCACUUUUUCACAGAAUCACAGAAUCACAGAAGGUAGGGGUUGGAAGAGACCUCUGCAGAUCACUUUGUCCAACCCCCCUGCUUGAGCAGGGACACCUAGAGCAGGGGGCACAGGAACAUGUCCAGGUGGGUUUUGAAUGUCUCUCUAGGUAAGGUGACUCCACAACCCCCCUGGGCAGCCUGUUCUACUGCUCUGUCACCCUCACAGGAAAGUUUUUUUUUCUCAGAUUGAGGUGGAACUUCCUGUGUUCCAGCUUGUGCCCGUUGCCCCUUGUCCUGUCAUUGGGCACUAUUGAAAAGAGCCUAGUCUCAUCGUCCUGAUACCCACCCUUCAGAUAUUUAUAGGUAUUGAUUUUUGUACUAUUAUACUUCAUAUCUGCAGCCCCACAGUCCCCCUGCCCAGUGAACUGAAUGCCCCUAAAAAUGUGAAAUAUAUUGCUUGCACUUCUAAAAGAAUGAAGCUAGGACUCUUGCUCUGCAUCGCUGAGGUGAUGUUCUUUUUCCUUCUACCUGAAUCUGUAACAGUACAUGCAAGUGCAGGUGAUGGAAGCGUUCACUGAGUUAGGCCAGGCUGGAUUUAAGGAUAAGUCACCAAAAUGGGCAUGACUUAUACACUAGAAGUCCUGAUCCUAUUUCCUGAGGGCUUCUGAACUUUGUGGCCUUUCCUGUCAAUAUGGGUCCUAAAAUCCAUUCAACACACAUGGGAACACCAACUGGUGUCCCCCACAGUUACUCUCCUCACACCUAGGAAAGCAUCAGAGAAAGGAUGAGACUUUUGAUGAAGAAAUGUGGGUGUAGGCUGGAAAAUGCUCCUACUUAAAGCACAUCUCUGGUUGAUGCAUGAGAAAUGUAAUCACUAAAGAGUGAGUAGAAAUAAACCAUGUCCUUUUAAAAGACUUUAGCCUGUCUGAAAAGCACAACAGUUUUGGGGAAUGGGACCUAACCAUUAAUUUUUUGGCCAUGUGUGGACUCUUAAUACCUCACAGGUUCUGCCUGAGAUGCCCAGUUUCUUCCUUCCUUCCUCACCAUGUUUCCUGCAUCUCUCACACUGGCAGUGUCACAGGACAGCCUCUUCCUCAUUGCUGGGCACAGUAGUUCAAAGUGUGAUGAGCCCAUCAGCUAUGUGAGAAUGGGAAGACCUAGGGAGAGAGGACACAGUGCUCAGCCAAGGACUGUGCCUGGUGGCAGGCACCUGCACGCAGGGGGUCCCUAUGAUGUGGCAUCCUCAACAUGGAGACCUUCACUUAAGACAUGGGACCAGGCACAUGUGAAUUCAUCAUGUGUUACAUGUAGUGGAUAUGCUCCAGUCAGGCAUCCCAAUGCAUAAAGUUUCACACUGAGAGGAGACAGAUCACAGAAUCACAGAAUGGUGGGGGUUGGAAUAGACAUCUGCAGAUCAUCUUGUCCAACCUCCCUGCUUGAGCAGGCACACCUAGAGCAGGGGGCACGGGACCACAUCCAGGCAGGAUUUGAGUGUCUCCGGGGAAGGAGACUCCACAACCUCCCUGGGCAGCCUCUUCCACUGCUCUGGCACCCACACAGGAAAGAAGUUUUUCUCAUGUUUAGGUGGAACUGCCUGUGUUCCAACUUGCGCUCACUGCCCCUUGUCCUGUCGUUGAGCACCACUGAAAAGAUUCUGGUCCCAACCUCUUCACACCCACCCUUCAGAUAUUUAUAUGUAUUGACAAGAUCCCCCCUCAGUCUUCUCUUCUCCAGGCUGAACAGAUCCAAGUCUUUCAGCCUUUCCGUUUAAGAGAGAUGCUCCAUUCCCCUGAUCAUCUUGGUAGCUUUCUGCUGGACUUGCUCGAUCAGUUCCCUGUCCUUCUUGUACUGGGGUACCCAAAACUGGACACAGUACUCCAAAUGUGGUCUCACUAGGGCAGAGUUGACCUGCUGGCCACACUCCUCUUAAUGCAGCCCAGGAUAUUGUUGUCCUUCUUGGCCACAAGGGCACAGUGCUGGCUCAGGGUCAGCCUGCUGUUCACCAGCACUCCCAGGUCCUUCUCAACAGAGCUGCUUUCCAGUAGGAAAACAGAUCUCCAGUUACUGUAGAUACUAAAGACGUAGAUGCCCACCCAUAUGCGUUUUCAGUGUCGGUUGAUUUCAAUUUGCAUCUGAAAUAAAACAAACAAACCCGAAACAACUAAUCUUCUAGUUCUUCCCUGCACUUCUAUCUUCAGACAGUGCAUGGUCACAACAGGGCUGGCAGCGCGGUCUUGGCUUGCAGAAUAUGUGCCAAGCUAUCAAUCACCUGCAACGUCUCAAGCGUGUGCCUUUGCAGUGCCACUUCCAGUCUUUCAACACUGGGUGGCACCAACAAUAUAAAGAAUCAAGGCCACUUCUCUAGCCUUUCCCUGUUCAAGGGAGCCGUGAUGCUGCAAGAGGUGAGGUGCUAUCAGUUUGUUUAUAGUCUUGAUGCAGUGAAUAUAAGAAAAACAUUAUUCUAGCAAAAGACCUCAGGUAAUGGUAGGAUUAGGAGCAGGUGAGGAUAUAAGAUAGGAAGAACUAUUUGUAAAGUUUGAUUACUUCCACUGUGGAACUUUCAGCUAAACCCUCCACCCCACCUGUGAUUAAAGGUUUGUUUUGUUUUGUUUUUUUUUAAUCUUGUUGUCAUGAAUAAACCUUCUCCUCAGGCACAGAAAAAAAAAAAAGACAGAAAAGCAGCAGAGAGAUAGGGCCAGUCCCAGGCUCUGUGCUGGUGUUGUUCAUAUCUCAGAAAUUGCUGGAGCGAGGAGUGGCCCUUUGAGCUCCCUUGCUCCCUCCAUCUUUGGCAGCAUUGCCCUGUGCCCCAGCCAGCAAAACAGGACCUGAGCGAGAGGCAGAGCCCCUCCAUCAGCAAGUUGCUCUUUCUCACACCUCAUCUAACACGGGAUGCUAAUGGCAUCCCUUUAGCAGAUAAGGCCAAGUUCUUCAGGAAGAAUACUCUGCAUGCAAUAUUUUUUCAGUGGGAGCUUAGAGACAGAAGUUUCUAGAUGCUGAACUAGAGGAAAGCCACGUGCUCUUUAUUGAUUUCUUGUUGCUGGCUAUGAUAAAUUCCGAGAGUGUAGCAACACAGAGCAGAAAGUUAUGGAGGAGCUGCUGUCUUAUGGAAUACUUUGUAUGCCUUCCUUAACAUCUGUCAUUUGUGACCAAUGCCACGGAAUGCAGUUAUCCAAUAAGAUGCCAAACUGUCAGCAUUUUGUUAAAAUAUGCUGCAGGGAGUAGUUCAGUAAGCUACUUAGCAUGCCAAAUGCAUAGUAUGUGCCAACAUAUUUAUCGUAAAAUGUUCUUAAGAGCUGCAAGCCUCUGUUCGUUGGGAGUAAUCAAUUCCAUCUUCAUAUGCAGUGGACCUUGAACCCUGCUCUGCACUCACAUUGCAACAAUUUAAUUUUUUCAAGGGACUAUCAGAAUAAGUAGAUGCAGUACCUCUACCAGGAGCUUUGGCAGUAGGCUUUAUUGAUAUUCGGGGCUAAAAAAGCCUCACAGAUCUCUGCACACUGUGGGAAGGAUCUAAAAAUAUAUAAUAAAAGCACGAUUAGUACAGCAUGCAACAAGGUGAGGAGUACAUGCUGUUGAACAGCAACAAAGUCUUCACAAUGUAAAAGCAACAAAGCCAAAUAAAGUAAUUCAGCAACAAGAGUGUUAGGCUCAGCCUUAUUCCAAUAUGAAAUAAAGGACAGUUAUAUUUUUAGUGGAACUGAAAGAAUCCACACCAGUGACUAGUAAUUAAUAGCAAGGAGACCUUUGGUCCCCUGUUGAACCUUGGGAUUGCCUUAUUAGACACUGUCAGUUUCUGAGACAUGCAAAUUCUGUUUGUCAAAAAGCACUGGUUUCGAUACACUCAGUGACCUUUCUCAUCUCUUGUACCCCUUCUUCCUCUUCUAUCUGACUAAAGUUCUUACAGAGACUCUGUUCCCAGGGAAUUACUUGUUGGGCAGUUCUCCCACAGAUGAUAUAGGGUGUCUCCUCUGAUACUGAAAGUGAGGCAGCACUUUGUUAAGCCUGGACUUGUGUAUAUGUUCAGCAACCCUCCAUGACCUCUCUCCAUGGGAAGCCUGGCUCCUCAACCUUGGGGUUUUCAUCUUUACUUGGUAUAAAGUGCUGCCAAAUAGUUGUAGUCAACCCCAAGGCCAGCAAAGGGAUAUCAGCAUGGUCCUGAGCUGGGUGUCCCUAACCCUUCCCAUCCCUGGUAAUAGGCUCCAGUGCCUGGCUGCCCACAUCUCUUGCUAGACAGAAAAUAUCUGUGAUAUCACAUAUAUGUCUCAAUCCUAAAAUGCCACUCCAGCUCUAUAGCAACACUAACAGUCAUCGUCUGUUUUUUCUUUAUAGCUGGGAGUCUCACAGAGGCCCUACUGCAGUGUUUUGCAGCUACAGUUAAACAACUGAAACCUAGAAAUGAGUCUGAGGUAAAAUCUUAUCUGUUACACCUCUUGCUCCCAGACCACGCUCCUGGGGGAUUCAUUUCAGAUCUCAGUGAGAUCUAUAGAGAGCUUUACAACGUGGAAAUUCGGACUGCAUAUUAGUAUCCAAAAAAAGGAUGUGGAAACCCAGCUCUAAGCUUCAAAAAUCAAUAAAAUACGACAUGUAGAACAUACUGACACACCGAGACUUGCAGAGACUGUGUAUACAUACAAACAUCCUCAUAAAAUCAGAUAAGGGGUUUUCCCCAAAAUGGGUGUCUCCUCAGGACCAGCUUGCUGAAGGGGAAGGUGUGGGGAGGAGUAGAAGGAAAGACAGAAGGAAGCACAGGAAUAAAUUCAAUUUAAGUGUGCACAGAAGGAGCAAGGAAACCCAUAAACAUAUCCAGAAUGAUAAAAGGUAAAUGAAGCAAAGGGCUUUUAAAGAUGUGAGACUCGCCAGCUCUUUCAAGCAGAGCUGAAGAUGAACGAAGACUUAGGAUCUGGGUGAGACAGUUUGUUGUGUGCUUUUCCAAACUGGCACUGCUGUGUAUUCUUCUCAGGCAAAGGGGCUUGUUUGCUGCUGUAGGAAAGAUAGUGGCCUGCAGCGCUACCUGGAAAGCAGUUCCUCUGCUGUUGAAUAGUCCUGAUGUAUGUGGAAUAAAAGGUGCUCUUUAACUAUGCACAGGGCUCAGAAUGGCCAGACUGCAUGCGCCAGGCUCACAGUGUUUAAUGCUUUGCCCAUGUUUACAACAUCCAAGCUCAAAUUGCGCGCAUUUAUCAUGCCCUUUCUCCCUCUCUUGACCCUACAUUUUGGAUGCACUGGCCUGGCCCUGCAGCUGGGGAUACAUGACAGUGGUACCUUGUGGAGCAGCAAGGCACCACAGACCUUUCCCUGAGCUGCAAAUGCAGGCUCAGACCUCAAUUGUUCAGAGGAGAAUAUUUGAGUGGUAGCUCAUGUUCCAGUCUUAAUCGCCGCAGAAAUGUAAUGAAUAAAUUCUUCUCCUGCAUUAUGUAAAUCAUUUUAUGGGCUGUGUCAGCUCUUCUGCAAAUGAGAGCUUGUUUUAAUCACUGUAGAGAGGAUCUGAAUGACACAGAGGCAGAUCUGCUCAAUACAGGAGUGUGUAGUCUGGUUGCUUUUCAGAGCAAAGUUUUCAGACCUUUUAUUUCCACCUGCUAUUUUUUACUAUCUUCAAUAGGUGGACAUGAUAAAGCCAAGAGGAUGAAAGGCUGCAUCAGAUUAAGAAUACAUUUGAAAGGCUGUGUUUACUUCACACGUGUUACAGGACCACAGUGUCAUAAAAUUUCUAGAUAGAUUUUGUCCUGGUUUCAGCUGGGAUAGAGUUAAAUUUCUUCGUAGUAGCUGGUAUGGGGCUGUUUUGCAUUUUUGCUGGAAACAGUGGUGAUAACGUGGAGAUGUUUUGGUUGUUGCUAAGUACCGCUUACACUGGUCAAGGACUUUUUCAGCUCCCUGUGCUCUGCUGGGUGCACAAGAAGCUGGGAGGGGGCACAGCCAGGACAGCUGACCCCAACUGACCAACGGGAUAUUCCAUACCAUAUGACGUCAUGCUCAGUAUAUAAAGCUGGGAGAAGGAGGAGGAAGGGGGGGAUGUUUGGAGUGAUGGUGUUUGUCUUCCCAAGUAACCAUUACGCGUGAUGGAGCCCUGCUUUCCUGGAGAUGGCUGAACACCUGCCUGCCCAUGGGAAGGAGUGAAUGAAUUCCUUGUUUUGUUUUGCUUCCGUGCUCAGCUUUUGCUUUACCUAUUAA